CAACUAGCACUCAUCGUUUACGGCGUGGACUACCGGGGUAUCUAAUCCCGUUCGCUCCCCACGCUUUCGCACCUCAGCGUCAAUAUCGAGCCAGGUAGCCGCCUUCGCCACUGGUGUUCUUUCCAAUAUCUACGAAUUUCACCUCUACACUGGAAAUUCCACUACCCUCUCUCGAAUUCUAGCAAAUCAGUAUCAAACGCAAUUCCAGGGUUAAGCCCUGGGCUUUCACGCCUGACUGGAUUCGCCGCCUACGCGCGCUUUACGCCCAGUAAUUCCGAGCAACGCUAGCCCCCUCCGUAUUACCGCGGCUGCUGGCACGGAGUUAGCCGGAGCUUCUUCUCCCGCUACAGUCAUCAUCUUCACGGGUGAAAGAGUUUUACAACCCUAAGGCCUUCUUCACUCACGCGGCAUCGCUGGAUCAGGGUUUCCCCCAUUGUCCAAUAUUCCCCACUGCUGCCUCCCGUAGGAGUCUGGACCGUGUCUCAGUUCCAGUGUGGCUGAUCAUCCUCUCAGACCAGCUAUCGAUCGUUGCCUUGGUAGGCCAUUACCCUACCAACUAGCUAAUCGAACGCGGGAUCCUCUAACGACGGCCUAAGCCUUUCCCCCGAAGGGCGUAUGCGGUAUUAGCAGUCGUUUCCAACUGUUAUUCCCCAUCGUAAGGUAGAUUCCCACGCGUUACUCACCCGUCCGCCACUAAGGUAACCGGAGCAAGCUCCGGGCCUUCGUUCGACUUGCAUGUGUUAAGCGUGCCGCCAGCGUUCGCUCUGAGCCAGGAUCAAACUCU
rnacentral:rRNA from 1 species